AUUGAACGCUGGCGGCAUGCCUUACACAUGCAAGUCGAACGGCAGCACGGGUGCUUGCACCUGGUGGCGAGUGGCGAACGGGUGAGUAAUACAUCGGAACAUGUCCUGUAGUGGGGGAUAGCCCGGCGAAAGCCGGAUUAAUACCGCAUACGAUCUACGGAUGAAAGCGGGGGACCUUCGGGCCUCGCGCUAUAGGGUUGGCCGAUGGCUGAUUAGCUAGUUGGUGGGGUAAAGGCCUACCAAGGCGACGAUCAGUAGCUGGUCUGAGAGGACGACCAGCCCACCCGGGGGCGGGACCGCGCCCAGGCCCCCAGGGGGGGGGACAGGGGGGAAUUUUGGGACAUGGGCGAAGAGCGUAACCCACCAGGCCGGGGGGUGAAAAAAGGCCUUCGGGUUUGAAAAGAAUUUUUGCCGGGAAAAAAGCCUUUGCCCAUAAUGCGGGGGGGGAGGGAGGGUACGGAAAAAAAAAGCCCGGGCUAACUAGGUG
rnacentral:rRNA from 1 species